rnacentral:rRNA from 2 species
CCCAGGUCAGGCGGGGCUACCCGCUGAA